rnacentral:rRNA from 1 species
UACGAAGGGGGCUAGCGUUGUUCGGAAUUACUGGGCGUAAAGCGCGCGUAGGCGGUGGGCAUAGUCAGGGGUGAAAUCCCGGGGCUCAACCUCGGAAUUGCCUUUGAUACUGGCACGCUUGAAUCCGUGAGAGGGUGGUGGAAUGGCCAGUGUAGAGGUGAAAUUCGUAGAUAUUGGCCGGAACACCAGUGGCGAAGGCGGCCACCUGGCGCGGUAUUGACGCUGAGGCGCGAAAGCGUGGGGAGCAAACAGG